AGGAAAUAGUUUAUAAAAAUUUUAAUUUUGGAGAUUGAAGAUAAAGAAGUUUCUUUUUUUCUGAU
rnacentral:tRNA from 1 species